rnacentral:misc_RNA from 1 species
CUGGGCGCGCUGGGCGGCUCGCACACGCUCGGCCGCGCGCACAACGGCAAGUACGCGACGCUCAGCAAGCAGUGCAAGACGCUCGAGAGCAACGACUUCUACUGAGAGCGGGCGGGCGGCGCGCCCAGCGAAAACGCACCCGGUCAGACGAACCGUACAGGCUCGCUGAACCGUUUCGACCCAAAGUACGCAUCGUUCGGGCCGCGCGCGCCCCGCCCGCGCCCGCCCGCGCCGCCGCC